CGAGUGUCCAAUCCAUCAAUCGGACAGGGGUCGGACUGUCCCUUUCUCUGAAGGGCUAUGUUGUAGCAAUGUCUUGCCAGAGCUUGAUCUCCUCUGACUUCUCCGACCCCCUGGCUAGUAGAAAAUUUCAACUUCAAAUGGUAGGUCGAUACUACAGCUCAGAGGGCGUUGAGACCAGGUCGGUCGAGGAUUGCGUUGUAGGCAGACGGCGCCCUCACUACUAGGAAAUCCACCAGC
rnacentral:lncRNA from 1 species